UACGGGGGGAGCAAGCGUUGUUCGGAUUUACUGGGCGUAAAGAGCGUGUAGGCGGCCAGGUAGGUCAGCUGUGAAAACUCGAGGCUCAACCUCGAGACGCCGGUUGAAACCAUCUGGCUAGAGUCCGGAAGAGGAGAGUGGAAUUCCUGGUGUAGCGGUGAAAUGCGCAGAUAUCAGGAAGAACACCCGUGGCUAAGGCGGCUCUCUAGUACGGUACUGACGCUGAGACGCGAAAGCGUGGGGAGCGAACAGG
rnacentral:rRNA from 1 species